CCUACGGGCGGCUGCAGUGAGGAAUCUUGGUCAAUGGACGAGAGUCUGAACCAGCCACGUAGCGUGAAGGAUGACUGCCCUAUGGGUUGUAAACUUCUUUUAUAUGGGAAUAAAAUGUUCCACGUGUGGGAUUUUGUAUGUACCAUAUGAAUAAGGAUCGGCUAACUCCGUGCCAGCAGCCGCGGUAAUACGGAGGAUCCGAGCGUUAUCCGGAUUUAUUGGGUUUAAAGGGAGCGUAGGUGGAUUGUUAAGUCAGUUGUGAAAGUUUGCGGCUCAACCGUAAAAUUGCAGUUGAAACUGGCAGUCUUGAGUACAGUAGAGGUGGGCGGAAUUCGUGGUGUAGCGGUGAAAUGCUUAGAUAUCACGAAGAACUCCGAUUGCGAAGGCAGCUCACUGGACUGCAACUGACACUGAGGCUCGAAAGUGUGGGUAUCGAACAGGAUUAGAUACCCCUGUAGUC
rnacentral:rRNA from 1 species